AAGUCGUAACAAGGUAACCGUAGGUGAACCUGCGGUUGGAUCAUUAAAAAAAUUACAAAUACCCUGUUGGUUGUCCGGUUUGUCGCCUCUACGUGUCGAUAAACACAAAGACAGCCACGGGGGGCUUUGGCCACAUCUUGUGAACUGUACCGUCUUUGGUGGUGGGGUGGGCAUCGCCGCGUGCGAUGUCUCAUCUGUCAGCUUGGGCCGCAAGGCCCGGGCCGUGGACAAGCCACCGCAUGUUUUCAAACAUAUUCUUUAUUUUGUCUGACACUUAACUUGUAUUAAUAUUACAAACAACUUUUGGCAACGGAUCUCUUGGUUCUC
rnacentral:misc_RNA from 1 species